GAUGAACGCUAGCGGCAGGCCUAACACAUGCAAGUCGAGGGGCAGCACAUAAAGUGGUUUACUACUUUUGGUGGCGACCGGCGGACGGGUGCGUAACGCGUAUGCAACCUGCCUCCAACAGGGGGAUAACGGAGAGAAAUUUCCACUAAUAACCCAUAAUACCAGAAUCGGCAUCGGUUUUGGUUGAAAACUACGGUGGUUGGAGAUGGGCAUGCGUUGUAUUAGAUAGUUGGUGAGGUAACGGCUCACCAAGUCAACGAUACAUAGGGGGACUGAGAGGUUAGCCCCCCACACUGGUACUGAGACACGGACCAGACUCCUACGGGAGGCAGCAGUGAGGAAUAUUGGUCAAUGGGGGCAACCCUGAACCAGCCAUGCCGCGUGCAGGAAGACGGCUCUAUGAGUUGUAAACUGCUUUUACAAGGGGAUAAAUCGGUGUACGUGUACACCGUUGAAGGUACCUUGGGAAUAAGGAUCGGCUAACUCCGUGCCAGCCGCCGCGGUAA
rnacentral:rRNA from 1 species